UACGUAGGGUGCGAGCGUUGUCCGGAAUUAUUGGGCGUAAAGAGCUCGUAGGCGGCCUGUUGCGUCGGCUGUGAAAACCCGAGGCUCAACCUCGGGCCUGCAGUCGAUACGGGCAGGCUAGAGUUCGGUAGGGGAGACUGGAAUUCCUGGUGUAGCGGUGAAAUGCGCAGAUAUCAGGAGGAACACCGGUGGCGAAGGCGGGUCUCUGGGCCGAAACUGACGCUGAGGAGCGAAAGCGUGGGGAGCGAACAGG
rnacentral:rRNA from 1 species